UACGGGGGGGGCAAGCGUUGUUCGGAAUUACUGGGCGUAAAGGGCUCGUAGGCGGCCAACUAAGUCAGACGUGAAAUCCCCAGGCUCAACCUGGGAACUGCGUCUGAUACUGGAUGGCUUGAAUUCGGGAGAGGGAUGCAGAAUUCCAGGUGUAGCGGUGAAAUGCGUAGAUAUCUGGAGGAAUACCGGUGGCGAAGGCGGCAUCCUGGACCGAGAUUGACGCUGAUGAGCGAAAGCUAGGGGAGCAAACGGG
rnacentral:rRNA from 1 species